CCUACGGGUGGCUGCAGUGGGGAAUAUUGGACAAUGGGGGCAACCCUGAUCCAGCCAUGCCGCGAGUGUGAAGAAGGCCCUCGGGUUGUAAAGCACUUUCAGUGAGGAAGAACGCCUGGUGGUUAAUACCCAUCAGGAAAGACAUCACUCACAGAAGAAGCACCGGCUAACUCCGUGCCAGCAGCCGCGGUAAUACGGAGGGUGCGAGCGUUAAUCGGAAUUACUGGGCGUAAAGCGCGCGUAGGUGGCUUGAUAAGCCGGUUGUGAAAGCCCCGGGCUCAACCUGGGAACGGCAUCCGGAACUGUCAAGCUAGAGUGCAGGAGAGGAAGGUAGAAUUCCCGGUGUAGCGGUGAAAUGCGUAGAGAUCGGGAGGAAUACCAGUGGCGAAGGCGGCCUUCUGGACUGACACUGACACUGAGGUGCGAAAGCGUGGGUAGCAAACAGGAUUAGAUACCCUAGUAGUC
rnacentral:rRNA from 1 species